AUCCAGCUGACAAGUCCCAAAUGGGACGAUAAGCGCGUCCUAGAU
rnacentral:hammerhead_ribozyme from 1 species